AACAUUUGUCGAGGGAAGUUUAAUAUGGUCUACAUGUAAACAUACUGUUAUAUAUCUUGGCAAUGAUAAGAAAUGAUUGCCGGGUUUUCGGUAGGCUACAGCAUUCAGAAAGUAUGAAAUAGUCUCAGCCCUAAUAUAUUAGUGUAAUUUAAAUAAAUAAUACUCAUUCUGUCCAUAUGAUGCACGCAGGACAAUAGGCCAGCUGAAGCGCAGGUUCCACUGCCUGCACGCCGAGCUGCGCAUGGAGCCAAGCAGAUGCUGCGACAUCAUCGUGGCAUGCUGCGUGCUCCACAAUCUCGCCAAGAGAUACCCCUGCGCGAUGCCAGGGACUGCCAUCCCGCCUGAGGUUCCUGUGGAGCCCAUGGCAGCCGGCCGUGGAGAAAGCAACGAGGCCCGGCGUGCCCUUGUCGACCAGUUCUUCUGUUGAGCGAGGUUCUCCGCCUCCAUCUGCUGCUGGUCCUCAGCUUGCUGCUGAUACCUCUGCGCAGCUUCCCGGCACCAACGUCUCGUCUGCAAGACACGGGGAGCUGCUGCCCACUCUUCUGCUGCUGCCACCCUUUGGCCGCUUCCUGACGCCCGAGGCUGCGGCGCUGCCGUUUGCCUCAAGCUAUCGCUGUGACAAAUGGAUAUGCAGGAAGUGAUUUG
rnacentral:misc_RNA from 1 species